CUGGGAUGUAAUCACCUUCACACAGCAGGCCCUGUCCAAUCAGGAUAAUUGGCACCAGACCGCAGACUACAAAGCAAGGGAAAUGGCCCUCCACACAAAGCAAAGCCUGUCAGGAGUCACUGUGGAGCUACUGCUCUCCUCUCUCUCCCUUUGUGCGCUGGAGCCUGCAGUACCACUUGAAAAUAGAUGGCCUUAACCACUGAUCCAAAAGAUCCUUGCAUCAGAGUAUCCUGAAUCCCAUUUCUGAUUUGAAAAACAGCAGCGUAACAUAAUAUUUCCCAGGGGACAUGCCUUCAUCGCGCCUACCACAUACCACAACAGGCUUCAAGACUCCUGGCUCAGCGCAGAGGAUGUGACAGGAAUCAAAGAGGGUUUUCCUGCUAUUUACAUCAGACGCUACAAUACUUACUUGUGCAGACACUCAAACCUGCUUUGCUAUUUGCCUUCAGACGUCAAGGUCAGAUGACUUGCCUUUUUUUUUACAGAUAAAUAAA